UGGGGAAUUUUGGACAAUGGGCGAAAGCCUGAUCCAGCAAUGCCGCGUGUGUGAAGAAGGCCUUCGGGUUGUAAAGCACUUUUGUCCGGAAAGAAAUGGCUCUGGUUAAUACCUGGGGUCGAUGACGGUACCGGAAGAAUAAGGACCGGCUAACUACGUGCCAGCAGCCGCGGUAAUACGUAGGGUCCAAGCGUUAACCGGAAUCACUGGGCGUAAAGCGUGCGCAGGCGGUUGUGCAAGACCGAUGUGAAAUCCCCGAGCUUAACUUGGGAAUUGCAUUGGUGACUGCACGGCUAGAGUGUGUCAGAGGGGGGUUAGAAUUCCACGUGUAGCAGUGAAAUGCGUAGAGAUGUGGAGGAAUACCGAUGGCGAAGGCAGCCCCCUGGGAUAACACUGACGCUCAUGCACGAAAGCGUGGGGAGCAAACAGGAUUAGAUACCCUGGUAGUCCACGCCCUAAACGAUGUCAACUAGUUGUU
rnacentral:rRNA from 1 species